rnacentral:rRNA from 1 species
CAUGCCUAACACAUGCAAGUCGAACGGACAUAACCAAGUUAUAGCGAUAUAAUGCGGGUAUGUUAGUGGCGAACGGGUGAGUAACACGUGAGCAACCUGCCCUGUACAACGGGAUAACAGUUGGAAACGACUGCUAAUACGGUAUAAGACCACACUGCGGCAUCGCAGAGGGGUAAAAGUGAAUUAGCGGUACAGGAUGGGCUCGCGUCCAAUUAGCUAGUUGGUGAGGUAACGGCUCACAAAGGCGACGAUUGGUAGCCGACCUGAGAGGGUGAUCGGCCACACUGGAACUGAGACACGGUCCAGACUCCUACGGGAGGCAGCAGUGGGGAAUAUUGGGCAAUGGAAGGAAACUCUUACCCAGCAAUGCCGCGUGAAGGAAGAAGGUCUUCGGAUUGUAAACUUCUUUUAUUGGGGACGAAUAAAUGACGGUACCCGAUGAAUAAGCCCCGGCUAACUAUGUGCCAGCAGCCGC